UUAGUACUUUAUACUCAGUACACAUAUUAGUACAUGUGCUCAUGUCAUGUACGUGGAUGAUGCUGUCACUGUUACGCUUAUUUUACACUCAAUAUGCAACCAAAGUCCAUGGUCACUACACGUAUGUAACCAUAGUCCAUGGUCACUACACGUCUGUAACCAUGGUCCAUGGUCACUACACGUAUGUAACCAUAGUCCAUGGUCACUAAACGUAUGUAACCUUGGUCCAUGGUCACUACACGUAUGUAACCAUGGUUCAUGGUCACUACACGUAUGUAACCAUGGUCCAUGGUUACUACAAGUAUGUAACCAUAGUCCAUGGUCACUACAUGUAUGUAACCAUAGUCCAUGGUUGUUACAAGUAUGUGUCCAUGGUCACUACAUGUAUGUAACCAUAGUCCAUGGUCACUACAUGUUUGUAACCAUGGUCCAUGGUCACUAUACGUAUGUAACCACGGUCCAUGGUCACUACAUGUAUGUAACCAUGGUCCAUGGUCACUACACGUAUGUAACCAUAGUCCAUGGUCUACACGUAUGUAACCAUAGUCUAUGGUUGUUACAAGUAUGUCUCCAUGGUCACUACAUGUAUGUAACCAUGGUCCAUGGUCGCUACAGGUAUGUAACCAUGGUCCAUGGUCACUACACGUAUGUAACCAUGGUCCAUGGUCACUAAACGUAUGUAACCAUGGUCACUACAUGUAUGUAACCAUGGUCCAUGGUUGUUACAAGUAUGUGUCCAUGGUCACUACACGUAUGUAACCAUAGUCCAUGGUCACUACAUGUUUGUAACCAUGGUCCAUGGUCACUAUACGUAUGUAACCACGGUCCAUGGUCACUACAUGUAUGUAACCAUGGUCCAUGGUCACUACACGUAUGUAACCAUAGUCCAUGGUCUACACGUAUGUAACCAUAGUCUAUGGUUGUUACAAGUAUGUCUCCAUGGUCACUACAUGUAUGUAACCAUGGUCCAUGGUUGCUACAGUUUUGUAACCAUGGUCCAUGGUCACUACACGUAUGUAACCAUGGUCCAUGGUCACUAAACGUAUGUAACCAUAGUCCAUGGUCACUACAUGUAUGUAACCAUGGUCCAUGGUCACUACAUGUAUGUAACCAUGGUCCAUGGUCACUACAUGUAUGUAAACAUAGUCCAUGGUCACUACAUGUAUGUAACCAUAGUCCAUGGUCACUACACAUGUGCAACCAUAGUCCAUGGUCACUACACAUAUGCAACCACAGUCCAUGGUCACUACACGUAUGCAACCAUAGUCCAUGGUCACUACAUGUAUGUAACCAUGGUCCAUGGUCACUACACAUAUGCAACCACAGUCCAUGGUUGUUACAAGUAUGUGUCCAUGGUUACUACAUGUAUGUAACCACAGUCCAUGGUCACUACACGUAAGUAACCAUGGUCCAUAGUCACUACACGUAUGUAACCAAAGUCCAUGGUUGUUACAAGUAUGUGUCCAUGGUCACUACAUGUAUGUAACCAUAGUCCAUGGUCACUACAGGUAUGUAUCCAUGGUCACUACAUGUAUGUAACCAUGGUCCAUGGUUGUUCCAAGUAUGUGUCCAUGGUCACUACAUGUAUGUAACCAUGGUCCAUGGUCACUAUACGUAUGUGACCAUGGUCCAUGGUCACUAUACGUAUGUAACCAUGGUCCAUGGUCACUACAAGUAUGUGUCCAUUCUCACUACUCGAAUAUAGCCAUAGUCCAUGGUGACUACACAAAUGUUACCAUGGUCCAUGGUCACUACACGCAUGUAACCAAAGUCCAUGGUCACUACACAUAUGGAACCAUGGUCCGUGGUCCACAAUCCCUCCAUGCGUGUACGUCGACACGGUCCGCACUCACCCCCCCCGCCCGUUGACCGGGUCCGUGCUGACUUGAGUCCCAGUGGUCCAGGCUCACUCGCUAUAUUUCCUCACGUCUAUUAGAGGCCUUCUUGUGAUGCAGCGGUUACCGUAGCAACGCACUAUGUAUGUACACUAUAUGAACGUCACGGACCUUUUCCAGAGGCCUUCAGACUCUGAUUGUCGCGCGUGUGCGGAUGACGUAACGGAGGAGAGAAGCCAAGAACUGUAUUUCGUGGACUUUAGUUUUCCUUUUUGUUGGGCAGUCCUCCCCCUUCACCACCGUAGAAGUCAUGUGUUUGUAGACGUUCAAAUGUCAGAUGAUGCCUGCUGAGAAUAAACGCCAUCUGUCAAAAA